rnacentral:tRNA from 1 species
GGCGGGGUCGGCCGGCAGGACGCGCCGGGCCCACAGCCCGGCGAGCAGGGCGGCGCCGGCGCCGGUCCAGACGGCGCCCCGCCA